GCACGUGUGUGUGUGUGAGUGUGUGUGUGUGUGUGUGUGUGUGUGUGCGCGGCACGUGCGCGCGUGCGCAAACACAAGCGGGCACCCGCAG
rnacentral:miRNA from 1 species